GGUGAACGCUGGCGGCGUGCUUAAGACAUGCAAGUCGAACGGCAGUCUUCGGACUGUAGUGGCGCACGGGUGAGUAACGCGUAACUGACCUACCCCAAAGUCGCGGAUAACGAUUCGAAAGAAUCGCUAAUACGUGAUGUGCUGUCAGAUUGUGUUCUGCCAGUAAAGAUUGAUUGCUUUGGGAGGGGGUUGCGUUCCAUCAGCUAGUUGGUGGGGUAAAGGCCCACCAAGGCGACGACGGAUAGCCGGCCUGAGAGGGUGGCCGGCCACAGGGGCACUGAGACACGGGUCCCACCCCUACGGGAGGCAGCAGUUAGGAAUCUUCCACAAUGGGCGAAAGCCUGAUGGAGCGACGCCGCGUGAGGGAUGAAGGUCUUCGGAUCGUAAACCUCUGAAUCAGGGACGAAAGACACUUCGGUGGGAUGACGGUACCUGAGUAAUAGCACCGGCUAACUCCGUGCCAGCAGCCGCAGUAACAC
rnacentral:rRNA from 1 species